rnacentral:lncRNA from 1 species
AGUUGGCAAAAGAAGUAUUGUGGUUGUAGUAAUUUUAGUUUGCUAGCCGGGAGAUACGCCUGGCUCACGGCUAACUGGUGCUAGCUUCAGGACAGGGGCGUUAGCCACUAUAGCCUCUCGGUAGCAGCUAGCUAGCAGCGAUGAUCCGAUGCAAAGGUCCAGAGCUUCCUGCAUGGAUCCAGUGGACUAGUGUAGUUCAUGCAGUGUUGGGGAAGAGUCCGGAAGGCAUCAGCUGUGUAGCCAAGUGAUCACUGAGCGGGCCAGGAGGGGGGCCACUCUUUAUCACUUUAUCACAAUACUACGUCACACCAGACCAAUGUCUGCCUGCUUGAAUGACAACAACUCAGAUACACAUUAAAACAUGAAAUGACCCAUGGCUUCGAUAGGACCUCACUCAGAGAUAAAAUAAUAGAACAUUCAAAAUGGGUGAAUAUUUCCUUAAACCAUCAAUCAACUACCUCCAGAUAUAAGUGCAUCAGAUCUCCCUCUCUGCUCUACUAAACCCUGCUUCCUGUCCCACAUAGACUCCUCCUGCAGGGUUCAUCUCAGGUCUCUGAUGUUUUAGAUGUUCUCAUAAGGAGGCAGCAUCCCUCUAUAAGAUCACUGAGAUGAGUUGAUUAGAAGCCUCCUCUAAUUCAUUUGGAGUGGUUUGUCUGUCUCAUUCUUUCUGUCUCCUUAACAGGGAGUCAACAUGAUCAGAAUACUUAUCUCCAUCACCAUGGGUUACACAGCCUGGGCUGCAGGUUCUUCUCUCAUUAAUCAGGUUCACCAAACACCUGCAGACCUGUACAAGAACCAGGGAGAGUUGGCUAAGAUGGAGUGUUCACAUAGUAUAUCAAACUAUAAUCGUAUCCUCUGGUACAAGCAAUCCAACUACAGAGAAUUGGUGUUUUUAGGAUACAUGCAAUUGAAAACUGGAUUUCCUGAGGCUGGAUUUGAUAUAGAAGGAGAUGCUAGUGCAGGUGGUACCAGCACCUUAACCAUCAAACAACUAACUCCAAAUAGUAGUGCUGUGUAUUACUGUGCUGCUAGUUUACACAGUGCAUCAGAUCUCCCUCUCUGCUCUACAAAAACCUCCUCCCUGGUGUACUGUAGACUAAUCACACCUGUAUUAACAACACACUGUAUCUGACUCUGAUUCAAUGCCAAAACACUCACCAGCUGGUCUAACAGAAAGGGGAGGUUCCCUCUGAUAUACAGGAGACCAUGAUACAGUAUGGUAUGAUAUCAUGUCUUUCCUGUAGGUGGAGUUACAGCUCAACUAAUCCAUGUGGACUCACCAGACACAGUACCACAGUAAACUAUGGUGUGUAGUAAGGAGUCUGAGAGUUGAAGAUCCAUGUAAUUUUGAAGGACUGGACUCAGUGUUGAACGAACAAUCUUUCACUGUUGGAUAUUUUCCACCUUUGAACGUGA